GCCGGGGUGGCGAAAAGGGUAAACGCGGGAGGCUUAAAACCUUCUGGCUAUAAGGCCUUGCCGGUUCGAGUCCGGCCCCCGGCACCA
rnacentral:tRNA from 1 species